rnacentral:rRNA from 1 species
UACGUAGGGUGCGAGCGUUGUCCGGAAUUAUUGGGCGUAAAGAGCUUGUAGGCGGUCUGUCGCGUCUGCUGUGAAAAUCCGGGGCUCAACCCCGGACUUGCAGUGGGUACGGGCAGACUAGAGUGUGGUAGGGGAGACUGGAAUUCCUGGUGUAGCGGUGGAAUGCGCAGAUAUCAGGAGGAACACCGGUGGCGAAGGCGGGUCUCUGGGCAGUAAUUGACGCUGAGAAGCGAAAGCGUGGGGAGCGAACAGG